AAUUCGGCAYAUAGUAUACUACUGUUUAAUAAAAACAUUGCAAUAUUGAUAUAUUGUAAAUUUCCUGCCCAAUGAUAAAUUAAAUGGCCGCAGUAAUCUGACUGUGCAAAGGUAGCGUAAUCAUUUGUUUAAUAAUUUUAAACUAGAAUGAAAGGAACAAAGUAUACUAACUGUUAAUUAAAAUUUAACAUAAAUCUUUGGCUGAGUGCAAAAACUUAGAAUAAAAAUAUAAACGAGAAGACCCUGGGAAUUUUAAUAUUUUUAUUGGGAUAAUAUAAAACCAUACUUAGCUAAGCAACAAAUAACAUUAAUAAAAAGAAAUUACCCCAGGGAUAACAGCACAAUAGUCAUUAAGAGACCUAAUCUCAGUGAUUGAUUAUGACCUCGAUGUUGAAUCAUUUGUACAUAUAGUUUGCAGAAGAAUUUUAUUCUCGUCUGUUCGACGAUAGACAUUACGUGAUUUGAGUUUAAACCGUUGUAAAACAGGUUGGAUUCUCUUUUAUUUUUUUAUAUUUGAUCUAGACUUAGUACGAAAGGAUCAGUAUAG
rnacentral:rRNA from 1 species